rnacentral:rRNA from 1 species
CAGGCCUAACACAUGCAAGUCGAACGAUGCUUUCGGGCAUAGUGGCGCACGGGUGCGUAACGCGUGGGAAUCUGCCCCUGGGUUCGGAAUAACAGUUAGAAAUGACUGCUAAUACCGGAUGAUGACGUAAGUCCAAAGAUUUAUCGCCCAGGGAUGAGCCCGCGUAGGAUUAGCUAGUUGGUGGGGUAAAGGCCUACCAAGGCGACGAUCCUUAGCUGGUCUGAGAGGAUGAUCAGCCACACUGGGACUGAGACACGGCCCAGACUCCUACGGGAGGCAGCAGUGGGGAAUAUUGGACAAUGGGCGAAAGCCUGAUCCAGCAAUGCCGCGUGAGUGAUGAAGGCCUUAGGGUUGUAAAGCUCUUUUACCCGGGAUGAUAAUGAC